UUUUAUUAUUUAUUUUAAUAUUAAUCUGUAUGUAAAUUUUUGUAAAUAUCUAAAUUCUUGAGGAAUAGUGGAGAGUUCAGGCAGUGGUUAGUUUUAUUGAUAUUAAGUAAUUUUAGAUUUAGUAAAUAUUAUGCAGGAUUGGUUAAAGCUGUGCCAGCAUCCGCGGUUAUACAGUGAAUUCAAAUAAAUAUUUUAGGUUUUGAAGUAAUAAUUGUUAAAAUAGUUAAUUAUAAAAGAUUUGAUAAGGUGAAAUAUGAAAAGUUUUUUAAGUUAAUAAAAUUAGGAGGAUGUUAUGAAAUUAAAGUCUUAAACUAGGAUUAGAUACCCUAUUAUUUUUAAUGUAAAAACAUAACCGGAGUAUUAGUAGGUAUAGUCUUUAAACUUAAAGAAUUUGGCGGUAUUAUAGUCUAUUUAGAGGAAUCUGUUAUGUAAUUGAUAAUCCACGUUGAACCUUACCUAUAUUAAUUCUUGUAUACCGCUGUUUAUUGAGUAUAUUUUAAGAUAAUUUUCUGAAUAAAGAAUUAAUUAAAAUUUCAAGUCAAGGUGCAGUAAUAUAUAGGAUAAAUAAUGGAUUACAAUAAAUUUUAUUUAAUAUGGAUAAUUAUUGUAAAAAUAGUUUGAAGGUGGAUUUAAUUGUAAUUUUUUAUAGAUUGUUUUGAUGAUUUAUAGCUCUAUAAUAUGCACACAUCGCCCGUCACUCUCGUUAAUAAGAUGAGAUAAGUCGUAACAAAGUAGGCGUAUUGGAAGAUGUGCCUAGAAUAAUAAU
rnacentral:ncRNA from 1 species